AUAGCCUUUCGAAAGAAAGAUUAAUACCCGAUGGCAUAGUUCUUCCGCAUGGUAGAACUAUUAAAGAAUUUCGGUCAUCGAUGGGGAUGCGUUCCAUUAGGUUGUUGGCGGGGUAACGGCCCACCAAGCCUUCGAUGGAUAGGGGUUCUGAGAGGAAGGUCCCCCACAUUGGAACUGAGACACGGUCCAAACUCCUACGGGAGGCAGCAGUGAGGAAUAUUGGUCAAUGGACGAGAGUCUGAACCAGCCAAGUAGCGUGAAGGAUGACUGCCCUAUGGGUUGUAAACUUCUUUUAUACGGGAAUAAAGUGAGGCACGUGUGCCUUUUUGUAUGUACCGUAUGAAUAAGGAUCGGCUAACUCCGUGCCAGCAGCCGCGGUAGUACGGAGGAUCCGAGCGUUAUCCGGAUUUAUUGGGUUUAAAGGGAGCGUAGGCGGACGCUUAAGUCAGUUGUGAAAGUUUGCGGCUCAACCGUAAAAUUGCAGUUGAUACUGGGUGUCUUGAGUACAGUAGAGGCAGGCGGAAUUCGUGGUGUAGCGGUGAAAUGCUUAGAUAUCACGAAGAACUCCGAUUGCGAAGGCAGCUUGCUGGACUGUAACUGACGCUGAUGCUCGAAAGUGUGGGUAUCAAACAGGAUUAGAUACCCUGGUAGUCCACACAGUAAAC
rnacentral:rRNA from 1 species